AGCGGGGUGGGGCAGCCAGGUUUAGCCCGCGGGGCUCAUAACCCCGAGGUCGGUAGUUCAAAUCUACCCCCCGCUACCA
rnacentral:tRNA from 1 species